GACCGUCCCUCACCUGGGUCCGGGACCCAGACUGGAGCCCCAGGAGGCUGAAGGAAGACCUGCUGUGCCUCUGCUUCCCAACGCUCCUGGCUCUCUCCACCCCGAGGGUCCAGGCUCUUCGCACAGAAGCUGGACUGAAGAAAUGAAGCCCAGGGCAGUGUAUCUUCUUGGCUGAAUCUCAGUCUCCCUGAGGAGCCAGCAUCCUGUGCUGUAUGGGCCCAGGUAUGCUGAACAAGGAUGAGAAUCCCAGAUGCCAUCCACGGAAGUCCAGAAACAUGGGCCUCAGACUGGCCACCAACACCCCAAAGUAGGAGUUCCCCAUCCUUUCAUGGGGCAUUCCCAUAGCCCUCGACACUUCUUCCGCUUGGCCAAGCCUUCACCGGGUGACGACCUCCCACUACUGACUAAGGCAGUAGCUCAAAAGGAAAGCCACCGUGCUGCUAGAUGCUUCACACACAUGAUCUCAUUGAACCCUCACGACAGCCCUCCGCAGUAGGCAAUACUACUUAUUGUGCCCACUUUCCCGGUGAGAAAUGAGGCCCUCGGGCGCCACACUGUUGGCCAGGGACACAGAGCUUGUAGCUGUCCAGCUACAGUACCCCUCUCACACGGUCGCCAAUUCUUUCUCGUUCUCUCCUUUUUGUUUUUUUAAUUAUAGUAGGUCCUCAAAUAAUGUCAUUUUGCUCUGGAAUCGGUCUGUUUGGGCCCCAAAUCCACCCUAUAUUCUGGCCUUUUGAACUUGAGUAACUUGCUUAACUGAAAUCUCAGUCUUAGGUCUGGAAAACAUCAUGAUAAUACAGACUCAGUAGCCUGGCUAUAAGAGCUAAAUGGGAGAGGAGAAAUUUGGAGGGCCUGGCAGUCAGCAGUAAGCCAUGCUCCCAGAGCCCUCAUGUGUUACAUAUGGAGCAUCAAUGCCUGGCAGCAAGCAUACCCCUAUGAAAUGUGAACCAAUAAAGUAUUUUCUGUUCCAAACACAA